AGGACGAACGCUGGCGGCGUGCUUAACACAUGCAAGUCGAGCGGAAAGGCCCUUCGGGGUACUCGAGCGGCGAACGGGUGAGUAACACGUGAGCAACCUGCCCCUGGCUCUGGGAUAGCCUCCGGAAACGGGGAUUAAUACCGGACAUUCACUUCCUUCCGCAUGGUUGGUGGUGGAGAGUUUUUCGGCCGGGGAGGGGCUCGCGGUCUAUCAGCUUGUUGGCGGGGUAACGGCCCACCAAGGCGACGACGGAUAG
rnacentral:rRNA from 1 species